AUGAAGUUCUGCCUAUGGGUUUUCAUGAAGAUAGAGCCAACAAGUAAAAACACUCUCAACUAAUCAAAUCACAACAAAAAAUAGAAGAAAGAAGCAAUGAAGUCAAGGUUCAAGAUGAAGAUUGAAAAAAGAGUUUGUGUCCUAGUUGUGAGCAGAAACAACAUUCAUUGGAAAGUUCCACCCUUUAAUUUCUUCAUUCUUCUUUCCCUUCCAAGUCUCAUCUCCCUCAAGCUAAGACCUUUGAAGUCAUGCAAAAUGGGACUUUGUUCUUCUUCUCUAGAACUUCUUAGAUCACCAUUGAUUGGAGCUGUAGAGGAAUUUGAGAAAAAGCUCUCUCUUGAAUCACCAAGUUCCUUAUUUUAGUCUCUUCCUCAAGAAAAUCUCAACUUUGUAGGAUAAAGGAAGCUUUAGUUUGAUUGAAUGCUUUUUUUGAAUAUUUUAUGCUUGAAAUGUUGUUUUUGGGUGUGUAAUGAUGUUUAUAUGUUGUAUUUAGGGGUAAAAUUCGAAUUGAGAUUGAUUUGGUAGUCAUUUGAGACGUUUAUAUAGAAACUCGAAAUUUGCAUACCCUGUUUUGCUUAAGUGAGGGAUUAUUUUUGCUUAAGCGUGACAUGUGACAAACGGUGAGUCUAGAUGUAGUUCUAGCUUAAGCCAGGUAGAAUCAUAGCAUAAGCAAGAACGAUAGAAAAAUAUCAAAUUAUCUAUGAAAUUCUCGCUUAAGCGGGAUUUAGGUGGUGCUUAAACGAGAUUUGUUGUAUAACACUUUAUAAAUGAUUUCCAAAUGAAUUUUGAUUAUCAUUUUUACUA